AAAUCUUGGACUUGGACCUCUCUCAUUUGAGCCCACAGGUCCACAAAAAUCAGGUUAUAAAUUCAGAGUUUCAGUGAAAGAAAUUUCAUUCUAUUCCUAUUACCCUGGCUGGAGGAAAAAGGUAGUGAGAGAAGAGCUAACAGAGUUCAGAGCAACCUCCAAACCCUGAAGGGAACUCAACUGCACAGAAUCACCUUUGCCUCACAUAAACCCUAAAGAUGGUUUUGUA
rnacentral:lncRNA from 1 species